rnacentral:rRNA from 1 species
AGCAGCCGCGGUAAUUCCAGCUCCAAUAGCGUAUAUUAAAGUUGUUGCAGUUAAAAAGCUCGUAGUUGAAUUUCGGGACCAAUUUGUUGGUCGUGCCUCGGUACGUACUGGUAUUAUUGGUUUCUCCCUUCUGAAGAACCUUGAUGUCAUUAAUUUGGUGUCUUGGGGAAUCAGGACUGUUACUUUGAAAAAAUUAGAGUGUUUAAAGCAGGCAUACGCUUGAAUACAUUAGCAUGGAAUAAUGAAAUAGGACGUUUGAUUCUAUUUUGUUGGUUUCUAGGAUCGACGUAAUGAUUAAUAGGGAUAGUUGGGGGCAUUAGUAUUCAAUUGUCAGAGGUGAAAUUCUUGGAUUUAUUGAAGACUAACUACUGCGAAAGCAUUUGCCAAGGAUGUUUUCAUUAAUCAAGAACGAAAGUUAGGGGAUCGAAGACGAUCAGAUACCGUCGUAGUCUUAACCAUAAACUAUGCCGACUAGGGAUCGGAUGAUGUAAUUUUUAAUGACUCAUUCGGCGCCUUACGG